GACGAACGCUGGCGGCGUGCCUAGUACAUGCAAGUCGAGCGGAGUUAUUCCUUCGGGGAUAACUUAGCGGCGGACGGGUGAGUAACACGUAGGCAACCUGCCUGUAAGAUCGGGAUAACUACCGGAAACGGUAGCUAAGACCGGAUAAUCAGCUGGAUCGCAUGAUUCGGCUGGGAAAAGCGGAGCAAUCUGCUGCUUACAGAUGGGCCUGCGGCGCAUUAGCUAGUUGGUGGGGUAACGGCUCACCAAGGCGACGAUGCGUAGCCGACCUGAGAGGGUGAACGGCCACACUGGGACUGAGACACGGCCCAGACUCCUACGGGAGGCAGCAGUAGGGAAUCUUCCGCAAUGGACGCAAGUCUGACGGAGCAACGCCGCGUGAGUGAUGAAGGUUUUCGGAUUGUAAAGCUCUGUUGCCAGGGAAGAACGCUUAGGAGAGUAACUGCUCUUAAGGUGACGGUACCUGAGAAGAAAGCCCCGGCUAGCUACGUGCCAGCCGCCGCGGUAAAAC
rnacentral:rRNA from 1 species